rnacentral:rRNA from 1 species
UGCGCGUCCUAUGCAUGCAAGUUCGAACGCAGCGGCCGUUGUGCCGGCUGCGUGGCGAACGGCUGAGGAACACGUGGGUGACCACCCCCGGAGUGGGGGAUACCCCGUCGAAAGACGGGACAAUCCCGCAUACGCUCUACGGAGGAAAGCCGCAACGGCGCUCCGGGACGGGCCUGCGGCCCAUCAGGUAGUUGGUGUGGUAACGGCGCACCAAGCCAGUGACGGGUACCCGGUCUGAGAGGACGGCCGGGCAGACUGGGACUGCGACACGGCCCAGACUCCUACGGGAGGCAGCAGCAAGGAAUUUUCCCCAAUGGGCGCAAGCCUGAGGGAGCAACGCCGCGUGGAGGACGACGGCCUUCGGGUUGUAAACUCCUUUCGGGUGGGACGAGCAUGACGGUACCACCAGAAGCAGCCCCGGCUAACUCUGUGCCAGCAGCCGCGGUAAGACAGAGGGGGCAAGCGUUGUCCGGAGUUACUGGGCGUAAAGGGCGCGGAGGCGGCCUGCUGCGUCGGCGCUGAAAGCGCCCCGCUUAACGGGGCGAGGCGCGCCGAUACGAGCAGGCUCGAGGCGAGCAGAGGGUGGUGGAAUUCCGGGUGGAGCGGUGAAAUGCGUAGAGAUCCGGAGGAACGCCGGUGGAGCAGUC